rnacentral:lncRNA from 1 species
AAAUUUUAUUUUGGCCAGGAGCUGAAGUUGGUUGUUUAGUAGUAGUAGUUUGAGUAGUGACCGAAGUAGUAGUCUGGUGUGUGGUAAUUGGGGCAGCUGUGGUCUCUUGUGGAGCUGGGGAAGACGGUGGAGCUGGUGUAGUUGCAGAAGGUGUGGGUGGGGCAGCUGUGGUCUCUGGUGGAGCUGAGGAAGAUGGUGGAGCUGGUGUAGUUGCAGGAGGUGUGGGUGGGGCAGCUGUGGUCUCUGGUGGAGCUGAGGAAGAUGGUGGAGCUGGUGUAGUUGCAGAAGGUGUGGGUAGGGUUGACCACACUGCUAUUUUUAUCUGGAUGUUUAGGUGAAGGUGGAAGCUUAGGCCUACAGCGUUUGUGCAGACAUUUAUAGGACUUUCUAAUGAACGGCUUCUGGUGAGC